GGCCGGUGGGGCGGGCUAACACAUGCAAGUCGAGCGGUAACAGGAAGAAGCUUGCUUCUUUGCUGACGAGCGGCGGACGGGUGAGUAAUACUUGGGAACUUGCCUUUAGGAGGGGGAUAACCGCUGGAAACGGUGGCUAAUACCGCAUAAUGUCUACGGACCAAAGCAGGGGCUCUUCGGACCUUGCACCUAAAGAUAGGCCCAAGCGAGAUUAGCUAGUUGGUGGGGUAAAGGCCCACCAAGGCGACGAUCUCUAGCUGUUCUGAGAGGAUGAUCAGCCACACUGGGACUGAGACACGGCCCAGACUCCUACGGGAGGCAGCAGUGGGGAAUAUUGCACAAUGGGGGAAACCCUGAUGCAGCCAUGCCGCGUGUGUGAAGAAGGCCUUCGGGUUGUAAAGCACUUUCAGUGGUGAGGAAGGCCGUAAGAUUAAUACUCUUGCGGAUUGACGUUAACCACAGAAGAAGCACCGGCUAACUCCGUGCCAGCAGCCGCGGUAAU
rnacentral:rRNA from 1 species